rnacentral:tRNA from 3 species
GGGAUGUUAGCUCAGUUGGUAGAGCAACAGACUCUUAAUCUGUGGGUCGCGGGUUCGAUCCCCUCACAUCCCA